UCGAGCAGAGACGAAAGUCGGUCAUAGUGAUCCGGUGGUCCCGCGUGGAAGGGCCAUCGCUCAACGGAUAAAAGGUACUCUGGGGAUAACAGGCUGAUACCGCCCAAGAGUUCAUAUCGACGGCGGUGUUUGGCACCUCGAUGUCGGCUCAUCUCAUCCUGGGGCUGAAGCAGGUCCCAAGGGUAUGGCUGUUCGCCAUUUAAAGCGGUACGUGAGUUGGGUUCAGAACGUCGUGAGACAGUUCGGUCCCUAUCUACCGUGGGCGUUGGAAAUUUGAGAGGAUCUGCUCCUAGUACGAGAGGACCAGAGUGGACGAACCUCUGGUGUACCGGUUGUGACGCCAGUCGCAUCGCCGGGUAGCUAUGUUCGGAAGGGAUAACCGCUGAAAGCAUCUAAGUGGGAAGCCCCCCCCAAGACGAGCGCU
rnacentral:rRNA from 14 species